AGAACGAACGCUGGCGGCAUGCCUAAUACAUGCAAGUCGAACGAACUCUUCGGAGUUAGUGGCGCACGGGUGCGUAACGCGUGGGAAUCUGCCCCUUGGUUCGGAAUAACAGUUGGAAACGACUGCUAAUACCGGAUGAUGACGAAAGUCCAAAGAUUUAUCGCCAAGGGAUGAGCCCGCGUAGGAUUAGCUAGUUGGUGAGGUAAAGGCUCACCAAGGCAACGAUCCUUAGCUGGUCUGAGAGGAUGAUCAGCCACACUGGGACUGAGACACGGCCCAGACUCCUACGGGAGGCAGCAGUAGGGAAUAUUGGACAAUGGGCGAAAGCCUGAUCCAGCAAUGCCGCGUGAGUGAUGAAGGCCUUAGGUUGUAAAGCUCUUUUACCCGAGAUGAUAAUGACAGUAUCGGAGAAUAAGCCCCGGACUAACUCCGCGCCAGCACGCCGAC
rnacentral:rRNA from 1 species